UACGGGGGGAGCAAGCGUUGUUCGGAUUUACUGGGCGUAAAGGGCGCGUAGGCGGGCGCGACAAGUCACUUGUGAAAUCUCUGGGCUCAACCCAGAACGGUCAAGUGAUACUGUCGUGCUAGAGUGCAGAAGGGGCAACCGGAAUUCUUGGUGUAGCGGUGAAAUGCGUAGAUAUCAGGAGGAACACCGGUGGUGUAGACGGCUUUCUGGACCGUAACUGACGCUGAGACACGAAAGCGUGGGUAGCAAACAGG
rnacentral:rRNA from 1 species